rnacentral:lncRNA from 1 species
CACAUGCUUCAUCAUUUCAACCACAAAACACACACAAUUCCUACCCAUGUGUGUGUGUUUCCUUUGCCCAUGUGUGUGUGUUUUUCCUUUGCAUUUGCAUACACAUGUUCUUCAUUAUUUCAACCAACAAUCCACCCAUUUUCUGCCCAUGUGUGUGUGUUUCCUUUGCCCAUGUGUUGCCUUUCUCUUUUUAUUAGCCAAAUCUGCUUAGCCCUUUUCUGACCUUUCAGUGUUACAAUGCCCAUAACUUCUUCUAGAAAAAAUGAGAUUAACAAUCCGUAAAUUGCUCCAGAAAAUAGACAUCCGUAGCUUUCCACACAUAUAAGGCUCAUUCUCUCAUUCAUUCUAAGCUGUUUGUAACAUGCUUCCAAAGUCAGAUAAUCUGCACAGGCAGUUUUGACGAAUUUGUUACUUAAUAAUU